UCAACGUGUGACACCGGCUCUCAAUUAAAAACGUACCUGCAACACAAAAGUGACAAUUGAUUAAUGGAAAAUUCAUUGUUCACACGAGUGGUCACUCAUAAAAGGAUUAAUUUCUUCCAGUACUUUUGCUACUGGGUACAACUGAAAAAAGUACUUCUACUACGGUAUUAGCUCCAGUCAUACCGGAUUGUUAGAGAUUUUUCGGGGGUGCGGGUUCUAAAAACGUAUCUCCAAGUGAGGGCGCUAAUCAAUCCGUUUAAUUAGAGUCUAUUAGUAAUCAAGAGUUUAUAAUUAAAUGAGAGAAUAUGGAUAAGAUAGAAAUGUCGAGAUGAAGUCAAAUGAAGGAUAGCGUCGAAAUUUCCAGGCAGAAAUUUGAAAAACUGUUGGGAUGAGAACCUAAUGAACAGUUGGAACUG